rnacentral:misc_RNA from 1 species
UCUCCGUUGGUGAACCAGCGGAGGGAUCAUUACAGAGUUAUACAACUCCCAUACCAUUUGUAAACUUUACUCAGUUAUGCCUCGGCGUGAACUGCGUACGGAGGCAGAGUGGUGUUACCCGGUAGCUUACCCUGUAGGUUACCCUGUGGCGCUACCCUGUAUCAACUCCCGCGCAGCCCGCCGGUGGUACACUAAACUCUUGUUUUAUUUUAUAUUCUGAGCGUAUUAUUUUAAUAAUUAAAACUUUCAACAACGGAUCUCUUGGUUCUG